GUUCAAUUCCUAGGAUGCUGUGAGAAUUAAAUUACAUAGUAGCUGCAAAAUAAUUUGGCUUUCUUGGAGUUGGACGCUGCCUGAACCUGAGUAAAAUGACUGUGCACUUCUUAAUGGCUUCCAUCUCUGGCCAAGCUGCCUUGGGACUAGAACAAAUCAUCUAAGUACUAGUUUCCAGCCUAAAAUAGCAUGAGGACAAGGCCAGGAGGCCACAGCAAGACUGUAAUCAGAACCCACAAGGAUUGCGUGGAGAUGCUGCAGUGCCGCCACCACCCAACAGCCGGAGCCCCCAGCACAGGUGGAUGACAGUGCUGUACCUGACUCUC
rnacentral:lncRNA from 1 species